CACAAUAUGAAAGCGGGCUGGAUACUCUGUAGUAGUGCAUUGCUUUACGGCGUGCGCUGCUGGAGAGCCUAGCCUUGCUGAAUUAUUCACCCGUGUCUUUUGCGUACUUCUUGUUUCCUUGGUGGGCUCGCCCGCCACAAGGACAACUCAUAAACCUUUUGUAAUAGCAAUCAGCGUCAGUAACAACAUAAUAAUUA
rnacentral:misc_RNA from 1 species